GGGGGUGUAAAGGUUUCGACGGGGGUAUAGAAGUAUCAUAAGCGAGCCGUAGUCGCCAAGUCUACGUUAAAAGUGGCCGUUUUAAAUAUAAACGCUAAAAAUAAUAAUAAUAAUUUCGCAUUAGCUGCGUAAGCAGCGCGCGUGUCACCUUCAGCUUACCUGUAGACUGAAGACCUGGCAUCGAUUAUACAGGAAAACCUUGCAGGAGUUCUCGGUACUGUAAGGGACCAACGAGAUAGCAAUUCCCUGAGCCUGCUGACGGGCGCCCGGAAAAGCGAAAUUCAAAACAUCAUAUGCGCUCGGAGAAAGUGAUGUGGAAAUAUUUUCGGACAGGAGUUCGACUCUCCUCAUCUCCACCA
rnacentral:tmRNA from 1 species